ACGGAAGGCAGCAGUGGGGAAUAUUGCACAAUGGGGGAAACCCUGAUGCAGCAACGCCGCGUGAAGGAAGACGGUCUUCGGAUUGUAAACUUUUGUUCUUAGUGAAGAUAAUGCCGGUAGCUAAGGAGCAAGCCACGGCUAACUACGUGCCAGCAGCCGCGGUAAUACGUAGGUGGCAAGCGUUGUCCGGAAUUACUGGGUGUAAAGGGGGCGCAGGCGGGAAAUCAAGUUGGAUGUGAAAUGUCGGGGCUUAACCCCGGAACUGCAUCCAAAACUGAUGUUCUUGAGUGAAGUAGAGGUAGGCGGAAUUCCGAGUGUAGCGGUGAAAUGCGUAGAUAUUCGGAGGAACACCAGUGGCGAAGGCGGCCUACUGGGCUUUAACUGACGCUGAGGCUCGAAAGUGUGGGGAGCAAACAGGAUUAGAUACCCUGGUA
rnacentral:rRNA from 1 species